GGCAGUGACGUGUGCCUGUGCAGUGGGAUUGACGGUUCACUGGGCGCUGGCAGUAUGGUGAGAGAAACAGGGCGGUGGGAACGGGCUGCUGAGAAAUGACCAACCGUCAGAGACAGCACGUAGGACAGGUCCUCCGCUCUGGAAUACAAGCCUUCUUUAUUUUUUGAUCCUCAACGCCGCCGCUUGGAAUCACCCUAUAGCAGGCAUAUGUUUACUCUGCACAGCAACUAAGGAUGACUCAUCAGAAAUGCAGUAUAGGACCUUAUGGGAGAAGCUGCUGAUUAUUCAAUGAAGUGUUGUCUCAUUCUACGCAAUGAGUUUUGAGAACUAAUUGUUUCUUGUUGGACCUGUCGAGUCAAAAAAGUUCUUUUCUCAGCAAUAUUACAGCUUCAUACAUCCAUGGGAUAACUUUACCACUUAAAAGCCUUUAAAAAAAAGUCAUGGUUGUUGCUAAUUUGUUGUUGGAACAGGGCUCAAUGAGUUUUUUCCUAUUUUGGAGUGUGGACAGAGAAUUGUCUUCUCACGUCACGUAUCUUAAGGAUACUGCAUGCAGAAUACGCCUUUUCGCUUCCAUGCUAUUUGAUGACUGUAUUGAUAUGGUGGUCAUGCCGACGUGAUCAACAUAAAGGAAUGCUAAUGAGCAAGCGCAAACAUCUUUGCUGUGUGCAGCACAAGGAUGUGAUUUGUGUUGCCGCUUAACACCUGCUUCGCUCCUUGUGCGUGUGUAGAGGGAGGGUGUCAAUAGUGGUGUGUGUGUGUGGUGGGCACGUCUCAAUAGUGCUCCUGUUCUAGUGGGAGUAUUGAAAUCUCACAGUGCGUUGCCUCACAGUCGUUCUUCACUGGCUAGCUUUAUGUCCCACGCCCUAUGCUAAAGCUGCCAGUUGAAGAGCUGUUGUGUGUAACCAUGACAACAGAAUUCUCUACAGAGGGGAUGGCGAAAAACUGACUAAGCAAAUUCACUUACAGGGUGUGUUGAAAUUUUUUGUCAUUGAUUUUUCACUCCAGAAAGUUAUGAUCUGUUUUUACUUUCUAAAUGUUAUUUAAAGAGCAUACGACAGGAGAUAAAAAGUCUUAAAUGGCAUUAUUAUGUGAGUUAGAAUCAUAUUUUGAGACGAUUUGACGAUAUACAACAAUUUAGCAAAGCGCAGAUGACGAGAAAUUAGUCUUUUAACCCUUGUGCAGUAUUGCGCCAAAUCCUGGCGUUUUGCUUUGUUACUCAUCAUAUUAUCAUAUAUAAAGCAUAUCAAAAAAUAAGCUAGAGGGCUGAAAAUUGUCAAAAAAUGUCAAAACAUGUUUACCUUCAAAAUGGCACCAUCCACAAUUUCAAAAUUGGUAUUGUCAUUAUUAUAUGUGGGAGGCCUACUUUUUUGUGACGCAGAGAGUAUUACGCCAACUUUCGUCCCCAUUGACUCCCAUUAUAAAUCCCAAUUUCUCAUGUUUUUUGAUGCACUGCCACCUGGUGUGUGAAAGUGCAUUUCCCACGAUUACACAAUGUAUGGCUUCAGCGGGGUGUCAACUGACACGAGAUUGUAACGGAUCCUGGAUGAAUAUCUUAAAAACAAAAAAUCCAGCAGGGGACACUAGACUAUUAUUUAUCAUUUUUCUUGAUUGAUCCCUCAUUGUCAAACGCAUUUACUUACUACCAAAAAAACAAGUUUUCAUGUUGAGCUUUGAUCGAACGGGCCAGUGUGUGGACUCACGAACACUUGUGUGUGAGUGGGUGUGUGCACGCGCGUGUGAGGGUGGGGGUGUGCACGCGCGUAUGUGGGUAUGUGUGUGUGUGUGCGCGCGCACUUUGCCUGUUCAAUGGGACAGUAUGAGUUGACUUUUGUGACGUUUGACUUUAUGACGCGACUGUGGGAGAAAUCGUGUGCGUUUGUACAUGCACGCGCACUCUCACGUCACCGAGCGUGUGCGUAUGUGUGUGCUUGUACUUUUGCGUGCAGAGGUCUGCAGAAGGCGGCUUUGAAUGCACUUCAAAGCACCUUGUCUGCAGGGCGCAAAAAGGUGUUUGAUGUGACACAUUUUGAGAAUUCAAAAUGCAGUUGUUUAUUGAAUCUCAACUCUUAUUGGUAGAAUGUUUUACUUUUUCCUCCUCCCAUUGGCUCAGUGAAUGGUCACGUUUGUAAACAACUUUAUAUGGGGUCCAACGGCUCAAAGGCCAUUUUACUCCCUGUGACUGCUGGUGAGCAGAGAUGGCGAGAAUAUUUUUUCUUGAGGAGGCAAGAAAAAUGGUGUUGGAGGAGGAAUGUCCCACAGACUCAAUGGAUGAAAAGGAUGAUGUGUCACAAGACUAUGAUGAAGAUUUUGAGCCACUUGUAGGAGAGGAGGAAGAGGAUGAUGAUUAGGAUUUUGAGGCGGUUACAGCAGAAGCAGCAGAGGAGCAACAACAACAGAAUCAGGUCAGCACUCCAUGGCUUGCCAAAAACCAAGAAAUUGUGUGGUCCUCUACAAAUGAAGUUUCGAGGCACUUCAACCUGCCCCCUAUUCUAUUGCCUGGCCCAACGCUUUUUGCAAUUGCCAGGAUCAGUAGCCCCGAGACUACUGUCAAUCUGUUUUGCCCGGACGACAUUAUCCAGCAGAUUGUCUAAAAAAAAAAGCCCAAGAUUAUUUUGGACUACGAUCUGUGUAAAGCGGCAGUCGAUCACUUGGACCAGGCAUCUGCCACAUAUUCUUGCUGCUGGAGGACAUUACGAUGGCCAAUGUCCAUAUCAUAUCAUGCUGGAUCUGUCUCUCUUCAAUGCAUUCACCCUCUUUACUCAGGUGGACCCCGCAGUGGUGGCCACGCCACAAAGCCAGAAAUGUGGGCAAUGUGGCCUUUGCAUUAACCGACUACGGGCAUCAAACAUUAGCUGCAAAUGUGGCAUUUUCUUUAGCCAAAAACAUGGCCAAAAAGUGUGCAAAUUGUUUUUUUUUUUUAAAAAAAAGCUCACUGGUUGUUUGUUGUUCUAGUUGAGUUGUUUGUUGUUCUAGUUCAGUAGUUUGUUGUUGUGCGUUUGAGUUAUAUAGAUUCUGUUAAUUCAAAAUUCUUCUAGUUGUUGUGACUUGUUGACUGUUAUUCUGAUGCCAGUGAAUAUUUUUAGUGGUUGAAGGUAAAAAAAAACAAUAUUCAGAAAUGACUUAGUUGUCACACUUCCAAGAGUGACUUUUGGCUCCAAUACUGCAAGAGGGGUAAAAAUUUUCCAUUUCAUUUUCAGAUGUCACAAGUAAAAAAAUAUUCAGAAAUGACUUAGUUACACACCCUCAAGAGGGCGCAAGGCUUCAUCCCCAAUACUGCGAGAGGGGUAAAAAUUUUGAAAUUGCCAUUGUCUAAAAAUGUUGAGUUCCUCAAAUAAAUUUUGAUGUUAUAAUUUA